UAGGGAAUCUUGGGCAAUGGGCGAAAGCCUGACCCAGCAACGCCGCGUGAGGGAUGAAGGCCUUCGGGUCGUAAACCUCUGUCAGGAGGAGAGAAAUACCUCCGGCUAAUAUCCGGAGGGGUUGACGGUACCUCCAAAGGAAGCGCCGGCUAACUCCGUGCCAGCAGCCGCGGUAAUACGGAGGGCGCAAGCGUUGUUCGGAAUUACUGGGCGUAAAGCGCGUGCAGGCGGUCGGGUAAGUCGGUUGUGAAAGCCCCAGGCUCAACUUGGGAAUUGCAUCCGAAACUGCUCGGCUAGAGUCCCGGAGAGGAAGGCGGAACUCCCAGUGUAGGGUGAAAUCCGUAGAUAUUGGGAAGAACACCGGCGGCGAAGGCGGCCUUCUGGACGGUGACUGACGCUGAGACGCGAAAGCGUGGGGAGCAAACAGGAUUAGACACCCUGGUAGUCCACGCUGUAAACGUUGCGCACUAGGUGUC
rnacentral:rRNA from 1 species